rnacentral:rRNA from 1 species
AUGAAGAGACUUUUGAGGGGCUCAUCGAGCCGAAGCUCGAAGAAAAAGGCACAGAAGCCCAAGUAUAAUCUGCCUCGCACCGCGGAGGUUCUGCCGUGUGAAUGGCCUUCCGGUGAAUUCUUGAGAGCAGCCGGGAUUUAUGAUGAUUUUUAUGAAUUGGCUGAGAAUGCAGGCCUCGCCACCUUCCUCCACGACCAACGCGAACAGUAUCUCUUACUCACAAAUAUCUUUGUGCAAAACUUUCAUUUCCAAUCUAGGAGCUCACUACCUACGGUGGAGUUUUAUUUAUAUGAGGAGCAUAAGGAGAUGUCACUUUAUGAUUUUUGUCGGGUUUGGUUGGUCCCUUUUGAGGGCACGAUAGAGGAACCACAUCGUGGCAAUGUGGAUGGGUUUAUUGAUACCAUCACUAUAGGGGAAAGGAGGAAGGUUUCCAAUGCACGAAUCACUAGCAUACAUUUUCCUGUUUUACACUACUUUGCAAUAUUUGCUAGUCGUUGCUUAAUUGGUCGUGGAAACUGUGGAAAGCUUAGUGUUCCUGAUAUUAUUAUUUUGUUCCACGGUUUAUUCAGUGAUAACUCUGUUAGUAUGGGCAGUAUUAUUGCUAAAUGGUUAAGUCUGAACCAUACAAAGGGUCCCAUCUUUGGAGGCAUCUAUGAUUCACGCUUAGCUGCACAUUUUAACAUACCUAUUAGGCAUUAUGAGAAGGAAGAAAAAUUGUUGCCCACUGUUUAUUUAGAUUAUAAAAGUAUGGUGGCACAUGACUUUAUUGUUAAGAAUAGGGAAGGGGAGCUUAAAUACAAAUUGUUUUUCCAUAAACAUCAUCCUGAGACUAUUACCCUGCUUGCUCCUUCCUUGUUUGAUUUAUCUGCAGGCCAGUACCUUGUUCCAUUACAGGCUAUUCACGCCUACUGGAACCCUACAUCAGCCACAGAGCCAGAGUCGGAACCACAAGUUGAUCCUCCACGACAGUCUAAUUACCAUUGGGAUCCGGAGAUGAUUGCCAACCGGUGGCAAUCAGAGUCUUCUUCAUCGCAGUACGACCCCAACUAUUACUAUGGAUAUCCGCCAGGCUAG